AUAGCAGGUUGGUUUGUCGCUUUCCAAAUUUUUUGGAAAGAGGAAAGUCCGGGCAACACAGAGCGCCAUACUUCCUAACGGGAAGCUGUCCGCAAGGGCAGAGUAGCGUAACAGAAAACAACCGCCUUGUUUGAGGUAAGGGUGAAAAGGUGAGGCAAGAGCUCACCGGUAAGAGUGGCAACACUUUUAGCCGUACGCCUUAUGGGUUGCAAGAUCAUGUAUAUCGACGCAUGUAGGAUGGCUCGUCCGAUGUCGAGGGGUAGAUCGCUUAAAGCAAGUGGCGACAUUUGCUUCAGAUAAAUGACAAACGCUUUGCUUUUGCAAAGUACAAAACCCGGCUUACAAACCUGCUAUUUUU
rnacentral:RNase_P_RNA from 1 species